GUAUAGCAAUAGCUACUUGCAUCAUAGUAGAUAUGAUGCAAGAUCGACUAUGUUGAAUAAAAUUCUAGGUAGAAUUAUGAUAAUGACAUUGUCUGCCUAUGUGUCUUGACCAAAUUACGUGCCAGCAGUCGCGGUAAUACGUAGAAGACUAGUGUUAUUCAUGUUUAAUCGGUUUAAAGGGUACCUAGACGGUAGAUCAAGCUUUCUAAUAAAGGAAAAGGACUAAUUUACUAGAGUUACUUAUGAGGGGGUAUUAAAGUACUGCUGGUGUAGAGAUGAAAUUCUGUCAUACCUCUUUUCAAAAGAAAAACCAUGGCACAGGUAUAGGCGAAGGCAUCCCCUUAUGUGAUAACUGACGUUGAGGGACGAAGGCUUUGUGUAGCGAACAGGAUUAGAUACCCCAGUAGUCGAAGCAGAAAAUGAUGAAUGUCAUAGAUUAGAUAUAUAAGUUUAUUCUAUAAAUGAAAGUGUAAGCAUUCCACCUCAUGAGUAAUUUGGCAACAUUGGAACUGAAAUCAUUAGACCGUUUCUGAAACCAGUAGUGAAGUAUGUUGUUUAAUUUGAUGACCCGCAAAAAACCUUACCACAAUUUGAAUAUUUAUAUUAUUUAUUGUUUUAUUAUUAAUUUUCUUAUAGUAAGAAUAUURRUWWUAUUAYUAAUUUUCUUAUAGUAAGAAUAUUAAUAAAGAGGCAAUAAGAUAUAUUUACAAGCGUUGCACGGCUGUCUUCAGUUAAUGUCGCGAGACUUUGGUUAGUUCCAUUAAAUUAACGUAAACCCUUACUUUAUUUUUAUAUAGAGUAGUUCCCCGCUAUAUUGGAUAUGAUAACAGG
rnacentral:rRNA from 1 species